AGCGUACACGGUGGAUGCCCUGGCAGUCAGAGGCGAUGAAGGGCGUGCUAAUCUGCGAUAAGCGCCGGUAAGGUGAUAUGAACCGUUAUAACCGGCGAUACCCGAAUGGGGAAACCCAGUGUGAUUCGUCACACUAUCAUUAACUGAAUCCAUAGGUUAAUGAGGCGAACCGGGGGAACUGAAACAUCUAAGUACCCCGAGGAAAAGAAAUCAACCGAGAUUCCCCCAGUAGCGGCGAGCGAACGGGGAGGAGCCCAGAGCCUGAAUCAGCAUGUGUGUUAGUGGAAGCGUCUGGAAAGGCGCGCGAUACAGGGUGACAGCCCCGUACACAAAAGCGCAUGUGCUGUGAGCUCGAUGAGUAGGGCGGGACACGUGGUAUCCUGUCUGAAUAUGGGGGGACCAUCCUCCAAGGCUAAAUACUCCUGACUGACCGAUAGUGAACCAGUACCGUGAGGGAAAGGCGAAAAGAACCCCGGCGAGGGGAGUGAAAAAGAACCUGAAACCGUGUACGUACAAGCAGUGGGAGCCCCACCACCAAAGCAUUCUCUGGUGUUGAAGGCCCUGCAAAGCAGCAUCGCGGUGGCGGAGCGUCGUUUGCGACGCCCAACACACAAAACAAGCGGUGAAUGCUUUGGGGUGGGGUGACUGCGUACCUUUUGUAUAAUGGGUCAGCGACUUAUAUUCUGUAGCAAGGUUAACCGAAUAGGGGAGCCGGAGGGAAACCGAGUCUUAAUUGGGCGUUAAGUUGCAGGGUAUAGACCCGAAACCCGGUGAUCUAGCCAUGGGCAGGUUGAAGGUUGGGUAACACUAACUGGAGGACCGAACCGACUAAUGUUGAAAAAUUAGCGGAUGACCUGUGGCUGGGGGUGAAAGGCCAAUCAAACCGGGAGAUAGCUGGUUCUCCCCGAAAGCUAUUUAGGUAGCGCCUCGUGAAUUCAUCUCCGGGGGUAGAGCACUGUUUCGGCUAGGGGGCCAUCCCGGCUUACCAACCCGAUGCAAACUGCGAAUACCGGAGAAUGUUAUCACGGGAGACACACGGCGGGUGCUAACGUCCGUCGUGAAGAGGGAAACAACCCAGACCGCCAGCUAAGGUCCCAAAGUCAUGGUUAAGUGGGAAACGAUGUGGGAAGGCCCAGACAGCCAGGAUGUUGGCUUAGAAGCAGCCAUCAUUUAAAGAAAGCGUAAUAGCUCACUGGUCGAGUCGGCCUGCGCGGAAGAUGUAACGGGGCUAAACCAUGCACCGAAGCUGCGGCAGCGAACGUAUCACCCAAGACAACUUUACGGAGUUGACGAUUGACGGAGCGAAGCGACGUCAAAGCGUUCAUUAAAGUCGAGUUGGCUUAGGGAUACGUUCGUUGGGUAGGGGAGCGUUCUGUAAGCCUGUGAAGGUGUGUCGUGAGGCAUGCUGGAGGUAUCAGAAGUGCGAAUGCUGACAUAAGUAACGAUAAAGCGGGUGAAAAGCCCGCUCGCCGGAAGACCAAGGGUUCCUGUCCAACGUUAAUCGGGGCAGGGUGAGUCGACCCCUAAGGCGAGGCCGAAAGGCGUAGUCGAUGGGAAACGGGUUAAUAUUCCCGUACUUGGUGUUACUGCGAAGGGGGGACGGAGAAGGCUAUGUUGGCCGGGCGACGGUUGUCCCGGUUUAAGCGUGUAGGUGUGUGUUCCAGGUAAAUCCGGUUCACUUUAACACUGAGGCGUGAUGACGAGGCACUACGGUGCUGAAGCAACAAAUGCCCUGCUUCCAGGAAAAGCCUCUAAGCAUCAGGUAACAUCAAAUCGUACCCCAAACCGACACAGGUGGUCAGGUAGAGAAUACCAAGGCGCUUGAGAGAACUCGGGUGAAGGAACUAGGCAAAAUGGUGCCGUAACUUCGGGAGAAGGCACGCUGACACGUAGGUGAAGUGAUUUACUCACGGAGCUGAAGUCAGUCGAAGAUACCAGCUGGCUGCAACUGUUUAUUAAAAACACAGCACUGUGCAAACACGAAAGUGGACGUAUACGGUGUGACGCCUGCCCGGUGCCGGAAGGUUAAUUGAUGGGGUCAGCGCAAGCGAAGCUCCUGAUCGAAGCCCCGGUAAACGGCGGCCGUAACUAUAACGGUCCUAAGGUAGCGAAAUUCCUUGUCGGGUAAGUUCCGACCUGCACGAAUGGCGUAAUGAUGGCCAGGCUGUCUCCACCCGAGACUCAGUGAAAUUGAACUCGCUGUGAAGAUGCAGUGUACCCGCGGCAAGACGGAAAGACCCCGUGAACCUUUACUAUAGCUUGACACUGAACAUUGAGCCUUGAUGUGUAGGAUAGGUGGGAGGCUUUGAAGUGUGGACGCCAGUCUGCAUGGAGCCGACCUUGAAAUACCACCCUUUAAUGUUUGAUGUUCUAACGUGGACCCGUAAUCCGGGUUGCGGACAGUGUCUGGUGGGUAGUUUGACUGGGGCGGUCUCCUCCUAAAGAGUAACGGAGGAGCACGAAGGUUGGCUAAUCCUGGUCGGACAUCAGGAGGUUAGUGCAAUGGCAUAAGCCAGCUUGACUGCGAGCGUGACGGCGCGAGCAGGUGCGAAAGCAGGUCAUAGUGAUCCGGUGGUUCUGAAUGGAAGGGCCAUCGCUCAACGGAUAAAAGGUACUCCGGGGAUAACAGGCUGAUACCGCCCAAGAGUUCAUAUCGACGGCGGUGUUUGGCACCUCGAUGUCGGCUCAUCACAUCCUGGGGCUGAAGUAGGUCCCAAGGGUAUGGCUGUUCGCCAUUUAAAGUGGUACGCGAGCUGGGUUUAGAACGUCGUGAGACAGUUCGGUCCCUAUCUGCCGUGGGCGCUGGAGAACUGAGGGGGGCUGCUCCUAGUACGAGAGGACCGGAGUGGACGCAUCACUGGUGUUCGGGUUGUCAUGCCAAUGGCACUGCCCGGUAGCUAAAUGCGGAAGAGAUAAGUGCUGAAAGCAUCUAAGCACGAAACUUGCCCCGAGAUGAGUUCU
rnacentral:rRNA from 1 species